rnacentral:rRNA from 1 species
AUUGAACGCUGGCGGCAGGCUUAACACAUGCAAGUCGAGCGGGGUGAUGGUGCUUGCACUAUCACUUAGCGGCGGACGGGUGAGUAAUGCUUAGGAAUCUGCCUAUUAGUGGGGGACAACAUCUCGAAAGGGAUGCUAAUACCGCAUACGUCCUACGGGAGAAAGCAGGGGAUCACUUGUGACCUUGCGCUAAUAGAUGAGCCUAAGUCGGAUUAGCUAGUUGGUGGGGUAAAGGCCUACCAAGGCGACGAUCUGUAGCGGGUCUGAGAGGAUGAUCCGCCACACUGGGACUGGGACACGGCCCAGACUCCUACGGGGGGCAGCAGUGGGGAAUAUUGGACAAUGGGGGUAACCCUGAUCCAGCCAUGCCGCGUGUGUGAAGGAGGCCUUAUGGUUGUAAAGCACUUUAAGCGAGGAGGAGGCUCUUUUGGUUAAUACCCAAGAUGAGUGGACGUUACUCGCAGAAUAAGCACCGGCUAACUCUGUGCCAGCAGCCGCAGUAA